rnacentral:rRNA from 1 species
CUUUACUGUAGCUUUGUAUUGGACUUUGAACAGAUCUGUGUAGGAUAGGUGGGAGGCUUUGAAGUGCGGUCGCUAGAUCGCAUGGAGCCAACGUUGAAAUACCACCCUGGUGUGUUUGAGGUUCUAACCUAGGUCCAUUAUCUGGAUCGGGGACAGUGCAUGGUAGGCAGUUUGACUGGGGCGGUCUCCUCCCAAAGCGUAACGGAGGAGUUCGAAGGUACGCUAGUUACGGUCGGACAUCGUGACGAUAGUGCAAUGGCAUAAGCGUGCUUAACUGCGAGACUGACAAGUCGAGCAGAUGCGAAAGCAGGACAUAGUGAUCCGGUGGUUCUGUAUGGAAGGGCCAUCGCUCAACGGAUAAAAGGUA